ACUAAAAACAAACUAACCCUACAUUUUCGCUAUGGCGGGAAUGAAAAGUGGAAUGAAUAAAUACACAGCCAUUCAAGGCUAUGUAUCCGAAACAGAGAUAUAGGAGACGAUGGAGAGCUCCAAAUCAGGCAAAGGCUUGCUCGCCUUACUUCAAGAUAUUAAAUCUGCCGAGGUGGUUGAAAAUCGUGUGCAGCUGCUCCAGAAUUUGGAGGAAUUGGGUAUAGAUGAGAAAUCUGAAGUGAAUACAAUUGUUGAGCAUUUGGCAAUGUUUUGGGAGGACUUUACGUGCUUGGAUAUAUCUCAGUGCACUUUGAACAAAACUAUUUUACACGUGGCGGCCAAAUACUUGGAUUCAGAUGUUUCAGGAAAUCUGGUUCAGUUUAUCGCACUGGGAACAAAAGCAAACAUUUGGUGCAGAAAGCAUUUGAAAAUGACUCUCAUGUCACUCGAGGAUUCUCCAGAAGAAGAACAUUCAAGUUUCUUUUAUCAGUUAGUUUUGGAUCUGCUCAGCUACUCAACUGCCAGCUAUACAGCUUUAGCAAGAUACCCUGCUUCCACUAGUAAGAAAUUGGUGGACAACCUAGAAUGCUUCAUUUCAGAACAGUUUGCAUUGAUGAAAGAUUUGGUGUCUGAGAUAAAGAGAAUACCACUAUUAGGUUCAGAAUUAUUAAAGGCAGCACAGGUGGCCCUAGAUUCCAUGACUCGAUUGUGCAAGGUAUACUGCAAUGGUGUAAAUUGGGAUACCUACCUUGGGAAUGCAGAAAAGGAAAAUGCAAAAGAUUGUAAAGAAACUGAAAAUGGAGAUUUUGCCAUAAUUGUAGUUGAUCGUGCUGUAGAAAAAUUAUGUGAAUUGGGCACUGUGGCAGCUUCUGAUGGUGGCACUCUUGUCAGCCUACUAAAUAUGUCAUGGAAAGGUGUAGUUUCUUUGCUUCAAUUUGGGAAGGGUUCUUUAGCAGCAAAGGUGAACAUAGCAGGUGUGAUAAUGAAUCUCAUUUCACUGGCCAGUGAAUCGUUAAAAUGUGCGGCUGAGUGCUGGUCUUCAAUGGAGGAAAACGUUUCUGUAAUAGAAGCCAAAAGGAUUUUUCUUCCAGUGAAGUUCUAUUUGAUCAAUGCUGUAAGAAUUAUUUCACAGUACCAAAUCCAAGCCUUUUCCGUGUUCAAAGAGAUAUCACACUGUGUUGUUAAGAUAUUAGCCUUCAGAAUUUCACUCAGUAUGGUGGACCACUUGAAGUCCGUGAGUGAAGUUUUGGCUGAAAUCCUGGAACCAACUUCCUUGCACUUGCUUAACUCUCUGUUAAACUCAAGUCAGUUGAAGCAAGAAAACAAGUUCAAGAUUUUGGACUGGCUAUUUAACACUGAAAGUGACAUGACUUCUCAGGCUGAGAACAAUAAUAGUAGCUUCAGUUCAUCAGAUGUGAUAUUUUCAGUAAGUGAUUCUAUGAACAAGGAGAAGAUGCUCUCCAUUGGUCAAGUUGCCUUGUAUCUCAAUCUUCUAAUGGGUUCUGUUGAUUUAGAGGAUGACACAAAACUUGGUAUUGCCAAAAGGCUAGAUUGGCUGAUGGAUACAAUAGUAGAUGAAGAUGUAUACAGUUCUGUUCUUGUUUUGCAGGUUCCUACACCACUUGUGUCAGGAAGAAACGGCGAAUCAACUCACCAUCCCAUGUUCUGUGCCAUUCUUCAUGCGCUGAAGACAUUUAUGAUUGUUGCCUUCUCAACGCCUGCAUGGAAUGAAGUAGAGCUAUUCCUUAUUAAAAAUCUUUUCCACCCUCAUUUUCUUUGUUGGGAAAUCAUCACAGAACUUUGGUGUUUCUUGACACGUCAUGGCGAGCAGGAUAUGGUGAAUGACAUCGUUGAUAAGCUGUGUGUUGUACUCCUGCUAACAUCUCAAGAACCAGUACUAUUUUGUCAGAAUGGUCUCCGAAAAAUUGCAAGGCUGAUCAGCAUUCUUGCUACUUAUGGACCAGAAUUCAUGGCUGAUCAAUUUUAUAGUUCCAUAUUUGAAACUGGCAGAUCUCAGUAUGUUUUAAAUGUGCACGUGGCACUUCUCAUGGAAGGUUUUCCCCUAAAUUCUCUUUCAGAGAGGAACAGGAGUAAUGCUAAAGAAAGAAUCGUGACUCAAUAUUACAACUUCCUAGAGAGCUUUGAAGAUAACUCUCCUGGAGGUAGUGAUUCUCUUGUUUAUGGUACUCCCAUAUCUGCUCUCUGUGCGGCACUUAAGUCCCUCCAGGUUAGCCUGUCCGAUAGUGACAUAAAGACGUUGAGAUUUCUGGUUUCUAUUAUUUGCAAGUGCAAAACCGCUUCAAACAGUGCAAUCAUGGACAAAUAUGGAACGCUUCUUGGUGAAUUGCUAGGCAUCGUUUCUUGUAUGAAGCAUUUGUAUUCAUCCGAUGAAAUGGAAGAUGUUGUCUUGGAGCUUCAGAACCUCUUUAUUUCAAAGUCCACAGCAUCCCACGCUAAGCUAUUUCUAUGCAAACCGAAUCUAGCUCAUUUCAUGGCUGGACUCGCUCAUAUGUCAUUGCCAGACAGUGACGGAAGUGCCAAAAGUUCAGCUGCAUGGAAGCUGUACCAUAUGUUACUGAGAGAAAGACACUGGGCAUUUAUUCAUAUUGUAAUCACAGCAUUUGGAUAUUUUGCCGCUCACACUUCUUGUAACCAACUGUGGCGAUUUGUGCCACAGGAUGCUGCACUGUCUUUUGAUUUGGAGUCUGGAAAUGCAGCAGAUGAAGAAAGAUUUAUGUCGGAGCUUAAAGCAGUUCUGGAGAAGGAAAUGGCUUGUACUACGAUACAAGCCAGUUCCGACCAGCUCAAAAUACUCGCCAAAGAAGGCCAACUGCUGAAAGAAAAAUUUCACAAGAUCAUAAGGCAUGAUUCUGAGUAUAAACUCCCUGACAUCAUGGAUAUUGAUGAUGAGAAACAGCCCAAUAAGAAAAGGAAAUUUCCUGAUGGAAUAAAUAAAGGUGUGGAAUUGCUGCAGAGUGGUCUGCAGGUCAUGGUUGACAGUCUGUCUCAGUGGCAACAGAAUCAGCAUGGCUCAGCUGAAGUUCAUGAGAAGUUUUUAAUCCAUUUUUCGAAGCUAGAAGAGGCGAUUGUUCUCUUGACAAGCCUUGCCGACAGCAGCUGAGACGGAGUGCUUAGUUACUUAAGGUGUGGUCUCAACUUCUAUCAUGCCACAAGGAACUCUGAAGAGUUUAACAAGUUCACUCGUCGUUCAAUACCUGUGAGAGUUGUGGCUAGCACACAACGUAGUAGGGUGUACUAAACAUACCCGAUAUCUUUGUCGAUUUCUUCAAAAUCUAUUUGAGAUAUUAUGAACCCUACUUGGAAAUCUCUCUCAAAGUAGUACAAAAUCUCUCCAAACUAUUAAGGACAAAAGUUGUGGAUGAUUUGCUCUCCCCAUGCAAAUUGCACAAACCUCUUGCUGCUAUAAUCCUAGGGUUGUUACAAAACCCAUACAGCUGUAUGUGUGUAAAUCGACACUUUGACAGUUGACACUUGUCUCUGCAGUAAUGUGUAUAGCACACAACAUUAAAUGAAGUGACUGAAUUAUAACCAACAGCUUCUGGUUGGGAACCUUCCUAAUUAAUGAUCAAUUGAAUAAGGAAUGGUAACCAUUCCAUAGAUAUUAUAGAUCCAACAAGAUUACCAUUCUCUCUACAGCACACAACAUUAAAUAUAUUUGUUAGCUUUUUUAUGGAAUGGUUAUAUCAAUUGAUGAUCAAUCAGAAUGGUAAUCUAGUUGGAUCUCAAUUGAUCUUUGUAUGAUAUGACAAUUGCUUGGUCUUCAAUCUCUAUGAAUCAUUCCUAAGUUUUCCUAUACCUAUCUGUCAUACAACUAGAUUGUUAAUGAUUUCAGCAAUAAUAAUGGCAUGAAGUUUGUUGAAUUGCAUAGAUUUGGCCCAUAUUUCUUCAAGUGUGAAUAUGACUAAAACUUUUAAUCACAAAUUUGGUUAAGUAGUAUUUCAUAAAUCAUAUAAAAAUAGUGUCUUGUAAAUACUGGUCUGGUGGUGUGGAGUGAGACUUGUGGCCCAAGGUUUACGCAGAGCCACUCAGCUAGUAGCGGCUGUUAUAAAAAAUAAAAUGAAAAUAGUGAAAAUGGAGAUAAUGAAAAUGUAAAUGAGAAAUCUGUUGUACACAAAUGCAAUACAUAACAACAUUUUGUUGGCAGACACUUAAACUAGGUGUGAAUGUUUGUGAUUGGUUGAUGAAACCUAUAUAUGUAUAGCAUAAUGUACUUGAAUGAUAUCAAUUCUCCACAUUUUACAACUCCCUCUAUUCUCAUCUCUGCAUUAACUACACUAGUAGU